AGGGCCGCCGGUGGUGCUGC
rnacentral:misc_RNA from 1 species